AGAGUUUGAUCCUGGCUCAGGAUGAACGCUAGCGACAGGCUUAACACAUGCAAGUCGAGGGGCAGCGGGGGAGCAGCAAUGCUCCCGCCGGCGACCGGCGCACGGGUGAGUAACACGUAUGGAACCUGCCCGCAGCAGGGGGAUAAGCGGAAGAAAUUCCGUCUAAUACCGCGUAACACCGCGGAGGGGCAUCCCUCGGCGGUUAAAGAUUCAUCGGCUGCGGAUGGCCAUGCGGCGCAUUAGCUAGUCGGCGGGGUAACGGCCCACCGAGGCGACGAUGCGUAGGGGUUCUGAGAGGAAGGUCCCCCACACUGGUACUGAGACACGGACCAGACUCCUACGGGAGGCAGCAGUGAGGAAUAUUGGUCAAUGGCCGGGAGCCUGAACCAGCCAAGCCGCGUGAGGGAAGACGGCCCUACGGGUUGUAAACCUCUUUUGUCAGGGAGCAAGAGGCGGGUCGGGACCUGCUGUGAGAGUACCCGAAGAAAAAGCAUCGGCUAACUCCGUGCCAGCAGCCGCGGUAAUACGGAGGAUGCGAGCGUUAUCCGGAUUUAUUGGGUUUAAAGGGUGCGCAGGCGGAGGCACAAGUCAGCGGUAAAAUCGCGGGGCUCAACCCCGCUCCGCCGUUGAAACUGUGUCCCUUGAGUGCGCGAAGGGUAGGCGGAAUGCGUGGUGUAGCGGUGAAAUGCAUAGAUAUCACGCAGAACUCCGAUCGCGAAGGCAGCCUACCGGCGCGCAACUGACGCUCAUGCACGAAAGCGUGGGUAUCGAACAGGAUUAGAUACCCUGGUAGUCCACGCAGUAAACGAUGAAUGCUAUCUGUCCCGGCGGGAAUGACGGCUGGGUGGCACAGCGAAAGCGUUAAGCAUUCCACCUGGGGAGUACGCCCGGCAACGGUGAAACUCAAAGGAAUUGACGGGGGCCCGCACAAGCGGAGGAACAUGUGGUUUAAUUCGAUGAUACGCGAGGAACCUUACCCGGGCUCAAACGACACAGGGAUGCCGCCGAAAGGUGGCAGUCCUUCGGGACCUGUGUCGAGGUGCUGCAUGGUUGUCGUCAGCUCGUGCCGCGAGGUGUCGGCUUAAGUGCCAUAACGAGCGCAACCCCCAUCUUCAGUUGCCAUCAGGUAGAGCUGGGCACUCUGGAGAGACUGCCGGCGCAAGCUGCGAGGAAGGCGGGGAUGACGUCAAAUCAGCACGGCCCUUACGUCCGGGGCGACACACGUGUUACAAUGGCAGGUACAGCGGGAAGCCAGGCGGCGACGCCGAGCGGAACCCGAAAACCUGUCUCAGUUCGGAUCGGAGUCUGCAACCCGACUCCGUGAAGCUGGAUUCGCUAGUAAUCGCGCAUCAGCCAUGGCGCGGUGAAUAGGUUCCCGGGCCUUGCACUCACCGCCCGUCA
rnacentral:rRNA from 1 species